rnacentral:lncRNA from 1 species
CCACACUCGCUGCGGUGUGUGCAUGUGAGAAACCUUUUGCUCUGCCCAAGGCCCGCGUUACUCAAGCUUUGUACCUGUACAAAACAUUACAAAGUGCCAGAAUGAUGGUGUGCAUGAAGGGAGCGGCUNCCUGCCUUGUUCUAUCGAUUAGCAGCUGUUGGAAAAGCCUAAUACGAACAGAACGAUCAUCAUCGGUGAGGAGGAUUUCAGCAGAUGAAGUUACCAUAGCAGCAGCUCAUCUCUCAACAGCGUUUCAGCUCCCUAGUUCUGCCAACUGCAAAACUGGCUUCACACAACCAGCUUCCGCACGCCUCCUUUUUGCAGAUCAUCUGAACCUGCAUGGUCUAGCAUGGAAAUGUAUUUAUUAUUUGGACUAAAGAUUUGAAAUUUACUGGUUGUAAUGCUUUAGAAGAGAACAUAUACAAGAUGAUGUAUAGAUGGUAUUUAACACUUUAUAACAUUUCAGAAAUGUAAGGUGUGUCGAAUAAGUGUUGGAAAUGUAAAAAGCAAGAAGGAACUUUUUACCAUAUGUGGUGGACUUGAAAAAAAAAAAAGAAGAAAAAUUGGGUGCAAAUAUUUACGGUCAUACAGAAGAUUUUAAAGACUAAUAUUCCUUUUAAGCCAGAGUUUUAUCUACUAGGGAUAAUAGAAAAUAAGUUUGAUAAGGUACUUUGAUGCAAAAUAUGGUCAUUGCAGGUAGAAUUGUGUAUGCACAAAAAUGGAAAGGAGAUAAAAUACCCAUGGUGGAUGAUUGGCUGGUUAAAAACAGGGAUCUCACAGAGAUGGACAAAUUGACUAACUUAUUGAGAAAUAAGUCUGUUGAUAAGUUUUAUAAAACCUGGAAACCCUUUACUGACUUUCUGCAAGAAUUGGAAAAAUAACUUGUUAUUGCUGUAUCUGAAGAGUGAAGAGGAAAACAGAUGGAUCGGUUGAAGAAAAGAAUUUAAAAAACAGGAGGGGCAUGAAGUCAAUAUGUAAACAAUGUUAAUCUAUAAUUUUUUC